rfam:Aedes aegypti strain Liverpool supercont1.11 genomic scaffold, whole genome shotgun sequence.
CCUCUCAUGGCGUAGUGGUAACGCGCCCCAACUAGAGAUAGGGGAGUCGUGAGUUCGAUUCUCACUGAGAAGA